UAAUCCUUAUACAGGCAAAAGGCGAUAUAGUUAAAUUACUAUGCAUUUUAAAUAUGGGAAUAAAAAAUCGAAUAAUAAAUCGAAUAAAAAUUGUAAAGAUGCACAAAAACUACCGUUAUAUAAACAAAUAUUUGGGGCUUUUAACGAUGGUUGAUUUUUUGUUUUACUGCUUAUAUUGGCCGGGUUAUUAACCGCUUUGUUUAUUUAAUUUAUAUUUUUACUUUUUAUUAUAUUAACAAAUAUAUAUACGGUAAAAAAUGAAGAUUGUAUUUAAAAAUAAUAUUUAUAAGUAUUUUCAUAUAUAAUUAUUGCAUUAUUAUUUUUGAGAUAUUUAUUUAAAAUUCUAUAAUAAAAAAUAUAAAAUUUACUAAAUUUGUUAAAUUUAUUUUAUUUUAAUAUAUAAUAUAAUUUGGUAGUUAAAUCUUCAUAUGGAAUAUUAUUAUAUAUAUUUAACAUAUAAUUUAGAUCAUGGGUUAUUUUUAAAAAAUCUAUUUAUUGAAACAAAUAAAAAGAAUAAAUGUAAAUAUUGCUAUUUCUAUUUCUAAAAUGGCCAAUUUUGGGUUUUUUAUAAAACGGAUCUAACGUGGGCGUUCGUUUCUAUAUAAAGUCCAGACGUUGAAAUUUUGUUUUGGUAUUGUAAAAAUUGGUUAAAAUGCAAACCCGUUUCGAUUGCAAAUUUUAAAUUAUUUUUAUUUAUUUUACCUUUUCGGUUUUGGUAUACGUUAUAUUAUGUAAUAUUAGUACCGAAAUUCUUAUAUAUAAAAUCUUUAUAUAUAUAACCCCCCACGUACAAUAGUUUUUAAAUUUUGUCGAGAAAUAAACUAAUAAUAAAAUUAAAUCGAAAAUUUAAUUUUGUAACAAAACUUAUAUCCCAGUUAAAGAAUUUUUCCGAUUUUUAUCCUAAUUCCGUCAAUUUGCAUAUUUAAAAUAAAAAUUAAAUCGUUGUUAAAAAUUCGGUUAAUUGCUAUAUCCAACGUGCAAACUGUAUGUUUUUACAGUUUUUACUUAAUUGAUUAUAAAAAAGUGAAACUAAAGUUCAAUUAUUUAAUAUAUGGUAGGAACCCUGCGAACGACGAAAAACGACAAAAUGGCCUCAGACCUGAUCCUGCGCGUUCUUUGCGCGGACCCACAGGGUAUAAGCAAAGCCACGAAUUGAGUCACAGGUUCAAUUGUGGAGCGCGCGAUUAGGGGUGAGCCCUGAAACUAAGGUAUAUCCCAAAACCGCAAUUGAGCCACGUUCAAUUGCGGAGCUACGGGCUUCAGGGAUAAGCCCUGAGACUAUAAUUUAUCCAAGUUUAUAAAAGUCCGACUCUAAUCCCUGCUUUUCGGCUAGUGUUUCAAUAUUCAAACUUAAAUAAAUAGAGUUUAUUAUUUGCAAUUCUGGGUUAAAACUAUAAUUUGUGAAAACUAUAUAAAGAUACAAGUCGCAGAUACAUUCAAUGGUAUUUUGGAUGUCAGCCCAUUUAACAAACACUGAAUCUUAAUAGUUUCCGAAAUCAGCUAGCUGGAAUCUAGUAUCAAUCCAACUUCACCAUGCAAAUCAUUACUUUUCUAUCACUUUUCUCCUUUAUGGCCGCUGCGUUGGCUCAGAAGGGCGUUGGUGGUAUGUCCUAAUCCAAAAUCUUUCCCAUAACACCUUGUACCUUGAUACAACUCGUUUUAUAACGCAAAAGUUUGCUAACUUUUCCCAAGGCGAAUGCCGAAAUGAUGCUGAUUGUAUUCGGUGCGUCGAGAACAAAACGCCCCUGAUUUGCGGCUGUAAGUUAUUUGAGAAUAUGUUACGAAUGUUUCCAGGGGUUUGGGAUUAAUUAUAUUAAUAUACUCCAGCCGAUACAUCCUCAACUACUGGUAGAAGGUGCAAAACAGCUACGGGUCCUUGUCAACCUUUCUAAUCUCAACACUCCUGUCACCAAUAAAGGGUUGGGCCGGUAAUAGGGACAUCAGGUGGGGUUGCACCCCUUCAGAUGACGCUCGUCCAGAGAAGAUUACUGACCGACAGGACCAGGAUUCAACGCAUGGGCGAAAUCAAGGGGGUACGCCUUUAUUAUACAAAGCCAACCUGGGCACCGUUUCAAACAUUGUUGUUACGGACUGGCAUCCCUGAGCGACUGCCAACCAUGACUAGCUCCACCUCAUGUGACAAGGCGCCAGGGUUCGUUUGUUAUAUGUUCACUUAGGCGCGUACACGCGGUUGGCACUGCGUGCCCUUCUUUUAUAUUUAGCUUUAACUGUUCGAGUAGAAUCGCCCUUAUAUUAAUUGCAACUUUGUCUUAUUCGGUUCGCUUUCGCAAAAGUUCGAUAAAUUAUAUAACCAUUAUAAUGUUUUGUCUCAUGUUGGAAAUUUGCAGAAGCCGUUGGGGGACAGGCCGUGGUAAUAGCGAAGGUAGCGAGAAUGUGUUUAAAAACCUAUAAUAGCUGGUAAAAUAUACUAAGUGUGACGCGUAAUUAAAAAUUAAUAAAAAGAUGCCUUUCGGACAUAUGGGUGAAACAGAAAAAAGCAAAGUGGGUAAAAUCUUUUAAAUGUUGAGAAUUUACCGGUUAUAUAUAUAUAUGCUGGUCAAAUUAGGAGGUUUUUUGAUUGAAAUUUAAAACUUUUAAAAAUUUAACGUUUAUAUGAAAAUUAGGCCCCCGGACCUCUUUCCAGAAUCACGAUUCGAUUCCACGCCGAGCCCGGGAUUGGAUAAAGGGGUUUGUUUACCCGGAUUUAAACGCGCCUUUCCAACGCGCCGUUAAUUGUAAUUUUUCUAUUCCUUUCAAUUUAAAUUUUCGUUUAUAGCGCCUAAUAUAUUAAGGCUCUCUAAUAUUUACCUGGCCGUAAUAUUAAUAAACGCCCAACUAAACGCCUAGGUUUAAAAUGCUAGUAAUUUGGGCAGAAAAUAGCCUAACAUUUCACCUAUCCAAAAAUUAAAUCGAUUAACGAAUAUAAAAAUGGCCGAAGCCGUUCGAUCCAAAUUAUUAGCCCCGGUUAAACCGUUAACCCAGCCUUAUAACCAUUGCGGUAAUCGGACCAAUUUAAAACACGAAAACGUUUGCAAGGGUGCCUUGCGCAUAUAUAUAGCCCGCCACGACCAAAUAAAUAAAAGUUUCGUUAAUUUGUUAAAAGAUUGGCCAAAACUUAAUGUUAAAAUCGAACGCGAUUUAAAUAACAAAAAUAACAAAAAUAGCCCCAAUUUUAACCCUAAUAUUACGACCAGACAAUUGGGUCGGCACCAGGAAGGCCAGGCGGAAUUACACCCCUCCUAACAACAUUUACCCAGGGAAAUUACCGACCGGUAGGAAGAGGAUCACAUAAGGGAAAAAAUAUGUAAUAUUAUAUAAUUACCAAGGAAAUAAUUUCAGUGAUUUAGGGAAAUUAGGAAGAUUAUAUCUAGAGUAUAUUUUAUAUAAAACACGCUUAUUAUUAUUUAAAUAAAUUCGAUUUAAGGAUUGUUUAGCAGCAAUUAAAUUUUAAUUAACCUUAAUAUUUAUUUCAGAACAAUUAUAAUUUUACCCCCAGUUAUUAAGAGCCCCAGUUACCCAACCAAACGUUUAGUCGUUUCAAUCCAUUGUAUUUUAUUAUAAGAACAGGUUACCUAAUAUUUUAAUCGUAACACCUACCGGCCAGAAAAAUAAUUAAAACUUUUAUAUUUUCGGGGGGAUUACUUAUAAUUCCGUUGCUGGUUUUAAUUUUGUAUAUGGUAUUUAAGGCGGUAUUAGGGUAAAAACGGGCCCAUAUAAUAUAUAAACUGUGGAUUGGUUAAAAUUUAAUACGCUAAUUGGAAAAAAACUAACGGUUAUAUAUUAUUAGAUGGUUUAAAUGUCGGUAAAACAAAAAAUAAAAAAAAGGAAAAAAAGACAGAAAUAUUGGCAGUAAAUAAUAUGUAAAUGUAUAAUUAUUACCUAGGCACGUUUGGGUAAUUAUAACUAAUGGACUAUACGGUAUAAUAAUUAUAAAUUAAUUGCAAACUUUUAUUACGUAUCCCGGUUAUAUUUUAUAAAAGUUCCAAGGUUAUUGGAACUUUUAAUUAAUUUGGAAAAUGCUAUAUUACCACCCUGGUCGGUGGUAAUAAUCUCUAUAUAAUAUAAUCAACUUGCUAUAUCCACCAAAAUUAUAUAUAAACCGAUUUUGCUCCUAUAUAGCGAAUAGCGAAAACGUAUUUAACAGGUGUGGAUUUUAAUAUAACCUGCGCAAUUUUAGUUAACGUGCAUUUCGAAUGUUUAAAAUUGCGAUUUUGAACUGCAAUUGGUGACAAUUAAUAUUUUGCUGUAUAUUUUGUGCUCCAUGUCAGUAAAAAACCGGUUUGUAAAAUUUGUUAAAUUCCAGUUUGUCCUAAAUAUUAAUUCCACCUUAAAAUCUGGUUAUUAGUCCCAGGAAGCUCCCUAAACUUGGUAUUAAAGUUAUUUAUUAAAUAUUAAUAUAAAUAAAAUAAUAAAUAGAAAUAUAUAAACGAUUUUAAAUAAAAUAUUAUAUAUGCAAAGUAAAAAUAACCUGUUUUCUCUUUUUUUUAUUUUUUUCUAUCGCAAAAUUAAUAUGCGAAGAAAUUUUAAAAUGGUAAAUUUAAUAAUAAUUUAUUAUUAAUAAAAUUUUUCAAUAAAAGCACGGCCAAUAUAAUGCUAAUGGAAUUUACCGUACAAAGGUUUGCCGGCGAUCUUGGAAUAAUAGCUACGAUUAUCGCACUUGGGCGUAUAAAUACACGCUAAUUAAUAUAUAUUACGUGCGAUCGAAAUUUUUAAUUUCUCAAACAUCCACAAAUUCAUACCACCCUUUAAUAUCCUUUUAUAACCAAACUGUAAUUUUUUCUUUUUCAUGUAAUAAAAAAACAAAUAAUUAAAUAUAAUAAACUGCAUUAAUUAUAUUAUUUUAACCCCGAAUACUUAUGCGUAAACAAGGUUUAUCAGCAAAAUUAUUUUGUAUAUUAAAUAAGAAAUAUGGAAAAUCGGAAUUUAUUUUGGAAACUAAUUGCGGGCAACCAAAUAUAAAUAAAUAAAAUAUUAAUUCUACCAAAAAUAUAUUCAAAAACCCCAUUCUAAUUUACAUCCAAAUUGCUUUUUGCAAUAGGAAAUUCGUUCAAAGUUUGAUUUUUUUCAAAUAGUAAAAGAUUAGUAAAUUUUGGAAAAUAAUUUCCACCCAAUGCUUAAACUAUCGUUUUUGGAAGUAGAAAUAAAAUAAUUUCGCGUUAAAGAAAUUCUUUUAAUUGCCAAAAGGCGAGACGGACGGAAAGGAAAAGGAAUGCGCUAAUUGGGGAGGUAUAUGGGAGGAGUCGGUGCAGGAAAAACGUCUUAAAGACAAUUAUAAAAUUAGGUAAGAUAGUACGUAAUUAACAGCUUUAAUUGCGAUGAAAAAUUAUUUAUUUAACCACCGUUUGGGGGAAUAAUUAAACAUUGGAAUUAUCGAUGGCAAAUUGCAAAUAAAUGCAAAUUGGACUAACCAAAACCAUGGUAUAUUCUAAAUAGGCAAGGCAGGGGGUUAAUAUAACUGCGCAAAUUAUUAUAAUGUUAAGGGAUGAAAUAGUAUCGAGCACGGAGGUGUAGUGCCAAAAGCAAAACAUUGCGUGCGGAGGCGAUAAUGGAAAUUAAAAAUUACCAAAACAGUAUUAAAACAAAAAAAAAAAAUAUGCGAAGGGAUAAUUUUGACAAUAGCAAAUUACGAGUUUACGCAAAUAUUGUCGCCUUGCGUUUCCACGAGCAGGCCGAAUUACUGGGCCGCAAAAUAAAAUUUUUGCAUUAUUAUCGGCGUUAUAAUAUCGAAGGCUGUGGAACGUCCUGGUUAAUAUUAUAAAAGGUUAUUAAUUAUGGAAAUUAUCCUACUAUAGCGAGAAAAUAAGUACACCGAUAAGUACCAACAAAAUGUCCGGAUUUAUGCGCGCGAAAUUUAAUCGAAAUCUAGGGUUGGGAUUGCGAAGGUUUUUAUACCAGUCCCUCCUUUUAACCUUUCCCGCCUGAGUAAAUAUUGUAAAUCCUCCUUUUAUAAACCAUUAGUCCAGUUUUUAA
rnacentral:sRNA from 1 species